GUUAUUAUUUUUUUAGAUAGGCAGAUUUUUUUUUCCACCUUAUUAUUCUUCCCAAUCACAAAGAUAUUUUGGAAUUCCAAGGUGCCCCUGUACCUCUUGAUGUUAAUGGCUUUGCAUUUUUAGCUUAAAUUCUUUAGCAAAUAUUAAUAGCAAAAAACCAAAAACUAAAUUUGUGUGUAUCAAGAGCCCCACCUUCUCUUUUGCCCAUAUUGCACUUUGAUUUCAAACUAUGCACUGUGAAGAGCUUCUCCCUCCCCCGUGGUAGAACGGGUGUUCCCUGUAGGUGUUUUUCUGGGCCAUGGAGCUUUCUUCAUUUUUACCCCUCUUUAAGUCACCCCUGUAGACUAUAUCACUUAAGCCUCCACUCCAAACAUUCCGGUCAAGGUGACCAAGGAUCUGCCUCAGAGGAAGCCAAGUCUCAAGGCCCAUCAGCACCAGAAUUGUGAAGCUGUGUUGAUGCUAGAGAACAUAUUUGUCCUUGAAUCUAAAUGUGGAGGGCUUGGAAGCAGUCUGAAUUAAGCUUGUGAGAGCAAUUCUGCAAUAAGUGUUCUGGUUAUCUCAAGCCAUUGGAUGGGGGAAAUAGGAAGUAGGAGGGGUUGCCCUACAAAGAAUCCUUACUGUUCAACAGGUCCUGGCAUUUUUGUAUAUUUCUUACCCAUAAGGUCUUUAUUUGGGGAAUCAUAGAUUACCACUGUUAGGUUUCAUCUGCCCCUCCCCCAUCGAACUCAGGACCUUGUGCUUGCAAGGCAGGUGUGGUGCCACUGAGCUAAAUCCCCAGCCCUUGCUAGGCUUCCUUAAUGGGACCGUGUGACCCAGUCCUUUAAGACUCAUUCAUUUUGAACUGAGUUUCAAACUUCGAAUUUAAAGUUGAAACCCAUGAAAGAUGUCUUCAUUCACUAGGAAUAACACCCUAACUCGCCACAUAGAUCUGUUUCCCUGGUAGCAGAAAACCCCAUCAACUUACACAUCUCACAUAGCGUCAGUGAAAAUGAUUCAGUGAUAGUGUGAUUUAAUAAAAUAAGUUUGGAACAUUAUUUUCUUUGCCAUCACUCGUGUGCCCCCACAAAAGGUUUUCUUGGGAAUAUUAUUUUCAGUAUUCAGACUCUGAAAUCUUACUACAGUCAAAUGCUUAUGAUAGCUGAAAGGUUUCUCGUGGCUUAAAAAUUACUAGCUCUUAAGGAUACGGUGCAGUGAUUUGUACAGAAAGGAACCAUUGUACUCAAUUUCCAGAAGUCCCAGAACUUGGUAGGAGGAGUCAGGUUGUAAUGUCUGUCACUUCUGAGUACAUUUCUUAUAUAACAGUGAUUACAUUGACAUUAUAAAAGAACAUCUUGUGGCUUAUGAAAAAAGAAAAGCUAUAAAUUUUAUUCUUGGCCCUGUUUCCAAGUCCUGUCUUCCAUUUUGUUGUUCUACACUUCCUGACCACUCUUAAGAAAAACUCACAAACCUUUGAAGAAACUGGAAUAGGCUGUUACUUUAUCAAAGUUUACAAAUUAAGUGCUUAAUUUUUAAUGUAUUCGCCACGUUUUGAUUUUCAGAUUUUCUUAAUAUUUGAAGAUGUGCCUUUUAUUGGGUAAUGUUAAUUCACGAAUGUAAUGUGAUUUCACAUUGUGAUGAUCAUGGGUGUGGCAUUCUCUAACACAAUGAUGUGAAAGGAAAGUAGUUUUCAUAAAACUCAUAGCUCUGAUUGCACAGUCCCACUUGCUUCUGAUGUUCCUAUAUCAAAGCAAAGGGCACUUUCUUUUAAAGCUACUUUCAGAACUCGUCUUUGUAUUUUCUCGAAGCUAUAAAUGCAAGCAUGUCCAUUUGGAGGCCAGGGUACCACAUGUCACAGGCGGCUUUACAUGUGUGCCGUGAGAAAGUUCAAAGACUUCACAAAAAUGAAAGUGUGGGAAGUCAAAAUUUCAUUUUUUAAUGGUAAUCCCCAAGGUUUUCUCCAAGAAAUAAAUUGUUAUUUUAUAUUUUAUAACUUAAAAGCAGCUGUUAGUACAUUUCUGAGAUGAUAGCAGGAGACCAAAACAUUUUUGGAAAGAGAAUAAAUAUAUGAAGAGAGAUUGGUUGUUUUAUUUUCAGCGUGCUGAAUAUAUAGAUUACUAUUUAUUUUGUGAGUGGAUGUGAUGAAAUAAAUAUUCAGGUGUUUAGUGUAUAAUUAAGAAUGGAAUAUAGAUUUCUUUGGAGUUAUUAAAUUUAUCACGUCUUUUACAUAAUGGACAAAUCAAGUUUAAGAAAACUUUACAUAGCUUAGC
rnacentral:lncRNA from 1 species